UACCCUUAAGGAAGAACAUUUAGUCUCAGUCUUAGCGCUGUCUUUGGGACACAAGUUAUUUGGAGUUCUAAAGUUAAUAAGUUAAAAAAGUUAAAAGAUUUACAGUAAUUGAAGAUUUCAGGUGGAGUUCCUCAAGGCUCAGUUCUGAGACUAAUGUUUCUUUUGUUCAAAUAAAUGAUGUUGACAAAGUUUCUCAUGUGUUACAAUUUGACUGACUCUAACAGAAGCUUUUAAUCUGAUUUGGAAUGAAGUUUUUUGGAAAUAUAUGUAGCGGUAUAGAGAUGUAUAUUUCUGCACAACUAAGUUCCGGUAAGAACUUCCGGUUGACUCUAGUGGGUGUGGUAUAAAAGAAGCUGCCCCACGCCCCUGAGACGCAUGUCUCCUGUGCGCUUCCACUGAGUGGCUCGCGUCCUGUUGGACUGGGCUGCAGACAAAUGACAGAUCGCAAAGUGUGGUAUAUGCGGCUUAGAUUUCCUUGUGGCAGGUGUUCUCUCUUGCUGCACUAUGGCUGAUCUUUGUAGAAAAGCUAAGUUUAGUAUGAUUAUAGGUGAACGCCACAGUGCUGCUUCUCCUUCUCUUCCUCCUGUGCGUAUGUGUUCGCGGCUGUGUGGAUCAGCAGAGUAAUGGCUUUAUCUACUCUGAUUGGACUUUCAGCCCAGAUUGGUUGAGGAUUCAGUUCACUGUGGAUAAUGACACCUGCCAGCUUCCUCCAGCAUCUUCAUAAGGUUGAAAUUGACUCCCACUGCUGGCUGUUCCUGCUCUGAUCCUGUUUGAUUUUCAGGCCGUGACCUUCAACCUGGACUCGAGUGCUUCACAGCUGGAAAACUGCAGGUGUGUAAGGAUCAUGUUCUGCCAAACUGUCACAUUACUACUUUACCUGAGCAACAGAAAUCACUGUGCCUCUGGGAAGAAAAUCCUGUAUUCCAACAUUCCUUAAUGCAUUAAACGGCAGACGAUGAGAAUGUGUUGAAAUCUUUAGUUGACCAUGCAGCUGGGAACCUUCUUCAUCAAAAAAUGGAAAAUGUUAAUUUGAAUCAUUCCCUGUUGAAAAAGUUUCAACAAAUGUAGAGAGAAGCAGAAGAAAAGACACAGAGCAGCUUCAGCAUUCAGCAUUGACUCAGCUUGACAAUCAUUAAAUAGCAGAUACAAAUACUCUCAUUAAAAAGAGGCUCAGCAGCACGAUUUUACACAGAAUACUGCAGAAUUAUAAAGCCUUUAUACAUCCAUACACUGUGUUUUUGUCAGGCGCUGAGACUGAGCGUCCAGCUGUUAAAUCAGCUGAAACAGAGACAUACAUUCACUCUGACACCAAUUCAUUGUUCCUCAUGUGUGACUGCCUGUUAUCCUCCCAACACGUGCAUUUCGGAGUGACUCAUCAGGGAUCCACAGCAGGAUCCAGAAAAGGCUCCACAGCAGGAUCCAAAGGAGGGUGGAGAACAGAAUCCAGAGGAGGAUCCAGAAAAAAAUCAGCAGGAGAAUCUAUCAGGGCAUCCAGAAGAGGAUGUGCAUGAGGAAACCGAGGGGUAUCUAGCAGAACCAGAGGAGGAUCAACAGGAGGAUCCAGCAGAGAAACCAAAGGGGAUCUAUGAGAGAAUCCAAUGACGACCUAGAUGAUGAUCCAGAGGAGGACUCAAGGGAGGAUCUACACGCAAACCCAAGAGGAUUUAGAAGAGAAUCAACAGAAAUACCCAGAGGAGGAUCCAGAGAAAAACCACACAAGGAUCCACAUGAGAAUCCAGGAGAGGAGUUACACAAGGAUUCUUUGGAGGAUCAACAGGAGGAUCCAAAGGAGGGUCCAUACAAGGCUCAAGAGGAACUUUGACAGAAGGAUCCAGAUGAGGAUCUAGUAGAGAAUAUCGAGCUGAACAAGGAGACAUAAUGAGUCAAAGGAACCCUGAACAUUCAGGGAACGCAUCAAACCUUAUGUGUGCUUCCAUUUGUGCUUGUUUCAGAUCUCUUUGGACAGUUCCCAGCUGCCAUGAUUCUUCAGAAUCCGUCUCUGUCUGGUGCAUCCAGUGACUAUCUGGAUGCACCUAAACUCAGAGUUUGUCUGUUUUUCUUACACCUAUAUUUCCUGUCUUCAGCCAGCUGGUCUGCUGGUGUACAGUAGAUCUUGGUGUGUUUACAGUCACUUUGUGUCAGUUUCAGUGACGUUUUGCAGGAUAAACGUGCCAACAUGCCAUCUCUUUGUGCCACUUUGGGCUGUUCUUCAAAGCAUACAUGCCGCUGAACGAGGUUCUGGUGUGUUUGUUCUGUAAUGUGCAGCAGAACUGGGCUGUUUAGUCCGUUUUUAACCCAUUUGUGUCCAUUACCUUGUCUCUAAAAUGUUUCCCUGAAAUCAGUCUGGUUUUGUUCAGACAUGAACAGACACUGUUAAAGUGCUGUCAGCUUUUGUUUUCUUAAAUCUGAAUUUCUGAUUGAGGUUUAGAGAACCACAAGAUAAAAGCUGAAAUCUUCUCCACUGUAAUUACCUCAAUUAUGAUGACAAGUCAAAACAGUGAUAAUAAGACACUACUCAACAUCAUUUUGCACCCUGUGUGGACAAACAUUAUUAACCAAGAGGUCUAAAAUGUUUUAAUAGCCCACCUCAGAUAAAUGGUUUAAGAUUAUUUCUUUUUAAUAGAUUAAAGUAUAUAAUAUAGCAGCAGAACCCUUUUAUAUUUUUGUUAUUUUAGGUUAAUCACUGAUUAUUUAAUACUAAAAUCUAUAUUGACCAUUAUACUGACAUCGCCAAGUCUUUUAUUUUAUUUUAUUGUAAAGGAUAUUGCAUGUUUGAGCACUGAAGGCAAAUAUUAAUAAAGUUCGCUACUAUUUAUGA